AUGGGGGAGGGCGUGAAGGCGCUGCUGGCGAAGCCGAUCAAGCUGGCGGACCAGGUGGCCAAGCAGUCGGGCUCCGGGCAGUGCCUCCGGCACGAGUGCAAGGAGCUGCGGGCGCGCGCGGAGAAGCUGGCGGAGGUGCUGCGGCAGGCGGCGCGGGCCGACCUGUACGAGCGCCCCGCCGAGCGCAUCGUGGCCGGCACCCUGCAGGCGCUGGCCAAGGCCGGCGGCAUGUCGGCCAGGUGCUUCGAGAGCCACUCCCGCCUCCGCCGCUUCCUCACCUUCAACCCCGUCUCCGGGUUCCCGCGCACCCUCGCGCUGCUCGACACCGCCGUCGAGGACGUCGCCUGGCUCAUCCGCAUCUCCUCCCCGCGCGCCGACGCCGACGCCAACGGCGCCCACGACGACGACGACGACCUGCGCGGCCUCCCCAACAUCGCGCAGAACGAGCCCAUACUCUUCCUCAUCUGGGACCACAUCGCGCGCCUCCACACCGGCAGCCUCGCCGUGCGGGCCGACUCCGCCUCCACCCUCGCCUCCCUCGCGCGAGACAACCCCCACUUCUCCAAGCUCAUCGUGGAGGAGGACGGCAUCGCGCCCCUCGUCAAGCUGCUCAAAGAAGGGACCGAUGACGGCCAGGAGGCGGCCGCCACGGCGCUCGGGUUCCUUGGGCGCGACGAGGGGAGCGUGGAGAAGCUUCUCCAUGCCGGGGUCUGCUCCGUCUACUCCGCCGCGUUGAAGGAGCCGCCGAUGCGCGUGCAGGCCGCGGCCGCCGAGGCCAUCGCGUCGCUGGCGCACCAGAGCCCGAGAUGCCAGGACUUGUUCGCGCAGAACAACGCCGUCCGGCACCUCGUGGGUCACCUCGCCGCUGGAACCAUCCAAGAGCACAGCAGGUACUCUGUCGGAGGAAGCAGCACCCGGCACGCUGCGCCUCCUCCGCCGGAGCACAUGAGGUCGCUUCACUCGGUUGUGCUGGCCAGCACGCCCAGCAUGCUCCCAGGAAUCUCUGGUCACUCCGCCAACGAACCGCCGAGCUCGUCGGAAGGCUCGACUGGACGCAACAACCAGAUGCAAUCCGCGGCAGCCGGCAGGACGACGACGAACCGGGUCACGGCUCCACCACCCAGUAGGCCCCAGCUGAGCUCAAACGGUUCGAGCGGCCGUGGACCGCGCGAGACCGAGGACCCGGCCACCAAGGCGCACAUGAAGGCCAUGGCGGCGAAGGCUCUGUGGAAGCUUGCCCGCGGCCAUCCGGGAGUCUGCAAGAGCAUAACAGAGUCCCGCGCGCUCCUCUGCUUCGCCAGGCUGCUCGAGAAGGGCGACGACGGCGCAGGCACGCACCUGCAGUACUACUCCGCCAUGGCGAUCAUGGAGAUCACCCGCGUCGCCGAGCACAACCUCGCGCUGCGGCAGUCCGCAUUCAAGCCCAGCUCGCCGCCGGCCAAGGCCGUCGCCGAGCAGCUGCUCUGCAUUGUGCGCAGGGGGGAGUACGAGGACCCGCUGCUGCUCCCGUGCAUCACCUCGCUGGGCUGCCUGUCGCGCACCUUCACCGCGAGCGAGACCCGCGUGAUCGGCCCGCUGGUGCGGCUGCUCGACGACCGCGAGCCCCCGGUGGCCAAGGAGGCCAUCGUGGCGCUCACCAAGUUCGCGUGCACGGAGAACCACCUGCACGUGAACCACUGCAGGGCCAUCGUGGACGACGGCGGGGCACGGCACCUCGUCCAGCUCGUGUACCUCGGGGACGAGCUGCAGAUCGAGGCGCUCAUACUGCUCUGCUACAUCGCGCUGCAUGUCCCGGAGAGCGAGGAGGUGGCGCAGGCCGGGGUGCUCGCCGUGCUCCUGUGGGCGUCGAAGCAGUCGCAGUUGGUGCAGGACCUGCGCGUCGAGCGACUGCUGUCGGAAGCCAAGGCCCGGCUAGAUCUCUUCCAGUCCAGGGGGUCGAUCAUCUAG
rnacentral:rRNA from 1 species